AGAUGCGACCGGCGCACGGGUGAGUAACACGUAUCCAACCUGCCGAUAACUCGGGGAUAGCCUUUCGAAAGAAAGAUUAAUACCCGAUGGUAUAAUCAGACCGCAUGGUUUGAUUAUUAAAGAAUUUCGGUUAUCGAUGGGGAUGCGUUCCAUUAGGCAGUUGGUGAGGUAACGGCUCACCAAACCUUCGAUGGAUAGGGGUUCUGAGAGGAAGGUCCCCCACAUUGGAACUGAGACACGGUCCAA
rnacentral:rRNA from 1 species